rfam:Schistosoma margrebowiei strain Zambia genome assembly, scaffold: SMRZ_contig0002857
AUGUGGUUGGCGAGUCCCAAAUAGGACGAAACGCGCGUCCUGGAU